CAUGCACGAAUUCUUUUAACCAAUCUAGACUGACUACUGUUAUAAACUAGUGCUUUGUUAAAAAAAAGGGAAAUUUCUUAAAUCAUGUCCGUGUCCGUUCUAUUAAUUCUGUGUUGAAAGGAUAUACGUGUGGCAAUGAAAUUUAAGUUAAUCUGGUAGCACAGAAACUAUAAUGUUUUUUACACCUUUUCUGUAUGUCUUUUCCUAUUCGAGAUUUAUAUAAAUUUGGUUAAUCGUAUAGAGUUCAUUGGGAUUGUUUUGUUUCAAAUUCCCAUCGCAUUAUAUACUGACUACUGUAUUUUCUCUUUGAUUUGAAGAAUUUUGCUCCGCGCGCAAAAUUCCGCCUAGUGGUGAACCGGCUUA